AGAUAACGAAUGGGGGGACAACACAACACAACCUUGACCUUGAGUUUGACCCCGCCCAUUUUCCCUCUCUUUCUUUCAAGGCCACUCGUUCUCUCUCUUACUUUUCAAGGCCAACCCCUCCCACUUCCCCCACCACUUCAAGGCCAAGGCAUUAUUGGACCUUGAUGUUUUCAAGGUCAAGGUUAUUCAUGCUACUCCCCACUUUUGCAAGGCCAACAACUCCUCACUCAUUCAAGAUGAAUCGCGCAAUUGUCCUUACUCAUUUUCCACCCCAAACUGUAUAAAAGUUAAUGUGUUGUGUUGUGUAACACAGUUCUUGUGUAUAUCUACUAUAACAAGAAAUUCUUUAAAAAUGGAACCCAUCAGAAAAAGUUCUAUUUAUAAUACUCCUGAGGAUAUUAUUAUUUGUCCAUACGACAAAAACCACGUUCUUCUUUGGUUUCGGCUCGAAAGGCACAUUUGGAAGUGCCAUCGGGCCGAUAAAGAAAAGCAAAGGGCCUCAAGUAAAGUGAUGGUGCAAGAAGAAGAAGAGGAGAACUGGGAUCAUUUUAAUGAGCCCAGCUACCUCGACUUCCUGAGGAGUAAAAAGAAUCAUAAUGCCUUAAAUUAAAGAAGGCCGGGGUUCUUUCGUUAAAAUAGUGUAGUUUAGCUAAGUAGUAGUAGUAGUUGUAGUAAAAUGUAAAUAUUAUAUUAAUGUAUAAAAAAAAUAAAAGUUGUAAAAAAAAAGCUAC